GUCGCAGAGCUGGCACUUGGCGGCGGCGGCGGCGCGGCCCUGCUGGUAGCGCUGGACGAUGGCCUCCAGCAGCCGGUUGCGCUGGAAGCCGCGGAGGCCGCGCUGGUCCAGGGAGGCGCUCCGGUGGCACUGCGGGCAGUAAAUGAUUUAAUUUUUAGCAAGCUGUUACCCAAGGAAGGCCAUAUCACAUCAGCCUAACGAUAAACCUGGUCCACCUUGUCUUUGACAGCAGCCAGGAACGGACACUGAGGGAAGACUACAAAACUGGAGUGCAACAAAACAGCCUCUCCUGAGACUCUCCUCAUUGAAUUUCCCAUAAGGAUCCCUGCAAAGAUCACAGGACCCCUAGAAACCCCUGCCAAAGUGAUGAAAUAUGUAUCGGCCCUACCUGCGCUGACAGCGAUAGCCCUUUCGAGCCUCCCACGUCAAUCAUGAACUCUGCUGUUCACAUGGUAUCCUGCAAAGACGAUAAACUAAGCACGGACUCCUGCAGAGAAGAUAAAAGCCGGAAGGGCUCCCUUGGUGCUUCACAUUACAUGGAAGCUUCAAAAAGGUAGGGAUAAAUAUAUUCAACCAUUUCAAGACAAGGAAGUGCAGCAAAGUGUUGCAGAAUGACUCAUUUAAAGGCGUUUCAGAAAUGUGAAGGAAAUACACAGCGCUGGGUUAAGAUGCAAGGGUGAUACUUAGGUAAACUCCAUCGAAGAAAAAGGAUAUUGGGACAAAUUAGAGCCUGGAAAUUCAAAGUUAAGUUAACCAAACUGUUGCAUGUAUAGGCAAUCAGGACCACAUUGGCUUAAUCUGUCUCAGCACCUCGCUGCCCCAGGCUCUCUAAUAGACAAUGUUUGUCCCUAGACUAUAAAGUAUUUGACACCCUAAACCCUCUGUAGCUUUAUCAGUUCUUUGGCCCAUAUUACUGUCAUCCUAAACUAGGUCUAGCCCAAUUUAAGUUGCAGAGAAUACACAUAAGGGAAUAUCCUUGCACACAGGGCUGUAGUCUUUUAGAAAAUCAUAAAAGCUUAAAGUAGUUAGCAAUUUCCCAACCACUGACAUCAAUAAAUUAUAUGAGGAAAGCGGAUUGGAAACGAACUGAAUCUUUGGAUGAAGCACAAGAAGAAAAAGAGGGCAGGCACUGCUGCUGCUUAUCAGAGCAAGGACAGGAGAAAAGUGUGUGAGCGUCUCAUGGCCCGUCGAGCAGACUCUCAGGUACAGCCACGGCUCACUCUGGCACAAGGACGCUAAGCAGACUUGAGCUCUUCCUCCUUUUAGCAUGAGGCAGCAUGAACAGGCAGCACCUCCAGCCAGAUCAUGGAUGUGUCCCUCCUCCACUAACCACCUGACCCGGAACUUCUGACAUUCAUGUAUGCAACUCAUUUCACAGAAACAAAUUUUGCAGGUGAAGCUUUUGCUCAAAACCAAUGGAUUCUGCUUCAACUAUAUUAAAAUGUAGCUUUUUUUUCUCUAAAGGCCCAUCACAACUUGAUUUUUCCACUGGUUUUAUAUAACCAUUUGCUUCUACACCAGAGAACAGAUGAUGCCAGAUAAACACAAAUUUAUGCCAGUAUGACUUUAAUGAUUUCAGUGGAGUUGAAUUAAGAGUGAUGUGUUUAGCCUUGCUUGGUAGUGUUUCCUUCCUUCUGUUUUUGAUAAAUUAACCAGUUGCGAUUAUGGGUUUUUAAUAAACGACAAGGUCUAAUUUCUUCUUACAGCUGUGGGCUCCCUACCUGAUGAGCAUAAAACAAGACUUACUAACACCACUGUUUUAAGCCAUCUUUUAACCUACGUUAUUCUUGUUUGCAUUUCGCUUGAGUGUUUAAUUUUUUACUUAUCCAUUAUUUUAUUUUUUGCCUAAAUACCAGUAGAAAUGAAGUAAUGCAUGAUGACUGCGAAAAAUGACUAUACGAGCAAUAAACAUUAAUUAGUAUUUAAUUAAUUUAAGGAAAAAUACAAUUAAUGCAUAAACAAAAAGUAUGUAGUUGUACGGUGCUGUAAACUGGGAGGAGAGGAAGCGCCAGGGGCAAAUAAUCCUGUGUUCAGGCUAGGCUGCCUCUGUCACCCGAGAGGACAAAAUUAAGACAGUAGGGCAUUGCCAGCCCGCACUUCCACUGCCAUCUGAAAAGUGCCCAAGGGGCGUUGUGCUGUGCUAGCUCAAGCUAUUUUCCAACCCAUCUGCUCAAGAUGAUUUAGGGAAGCGCAUUAUGCAACUGCUCUGCUGUAGUCCUGCUCUGCUGAGGUUCAAAUGGAUGUAGCAGCGCACUUAACACUUCUAGGAGAAGUUUUGAGGAAAAGGAGUGAUUAUACCAAACCAGGCUUUCCAGUCUGCAAUGGUAGAAGUAUUGAUAUAUGUCUGUUAAAAAAAAAAAAAAAAAAAAAAAAAGAGGGAAAGACCUGAGGAAAGAAAAAGAUUAAAAUUGAGAAAGGCUGAAGUACACUCAAUUGUAUCAGCAAGGAGCAGUAAUAGCAUGAGAACCAAUCAGGGCAAGGCUAAAGACGCGUAACCUGCACAGCUUGGGCGCUUGGCAGUGAAACAGCGAUGUUAUCGUACACCAACAAUCCAGGGCACAGUCACCUGCAGUCCUUCAGAUCGUCUCAUACCACUGCCAGCAGGGGAAGUAGCUCUUGUAAAUCACACAUGUUAAGGGCUUGCACUCAGUUAAAACAAAAAUAAAACCUUUCAGUGUCUA